rnacentral:rRNA from 1 species
AACGAACGCUGGCGGCAUGCCUAACACAUGCAAGUCGAACGAGACCUUCGGGUCUAGUGGCGCACGGGUGCGUAACGCGUGGGAACCUGCCCUUAGGUUCGGAAUAACUCCCCGAAAGGGGUGCUAAUACCGGAUAAUGUCUUCGGACCAAAGAUUUAUCGCCUUUGGAUGGGCCCGCGUUGGAUUAGCUAGUUGGUAGGGUAAAAGCCUACCAAGGCGACGAUCCAUAGCUGGUCUGAGAGGAUGAUCAGCCACACUGGGACUGAGACACGGCCCAGACUCCUACGGGAGGCAGCAGUGGGGAGUAUUGGACAAGGGGCGAAAGCCUGAUCCAGCAAUGCCGCGUGAGUGAUGAAGGCCUUAGGGUUGUAAAGCUCUUUUACCCGGGAUGAUAAUGACAGUACCGGGAGAAUAAGCUCCGGCUAACUCCGUG